UACUUUAGCAGAUUUUGCCUUCUUCAUUUCCUUUUCUUCGUCCAAUUCAGAUUUGGUCGGUUUAGUAGUUAUUAUCUUUUUAGAUUCCUCCAUAAUCUGUUGCACUUCAUUUUUCACUUUUUCAGCUGGGAUUUUCGCUUCCAGUUUGACUUUCUCUAUCGAUUUACUAUCAGUAUCUUCUAUCGAUUUAACUUUGUCUUUAUCGACAUAUCUCACUUUUUCUAACUUUUUGCUAGUUGGAGUAGACACUUUUAAUUUAUCUUGAAUUUCAUUAUCAUUAUCGUUCUCAUCCUCGUCGUCCUUGCUAUCGUCCGUUUCACGUGCAACAUAUUCCGAAUCCUUUUUUUGAGAUUUCUUUUGUUGUUUCAAUAGAAUGGAGCUUUCUGCUUCAAUUUUUACAUCACCUUUAAUAUCUUUUUUAUCCUCUUUCUCCUUUACAAUAGUGCUUUUUCUCUUUUCUUUAUCUUCAUCUUCAACAACAUCCUUUCUAUAUUUUACUUCUUUGGUGUCUUUAGUAGUUGUACUUUUUGAAAUACUACCUGCACCCAACUUGAAACUCCAACCAAGAACGUUCAUGCUACUGUAAUCUUUUUCCUUGUCUUUUACUUCUGCUUCUCGUUCCGUUUCCUUUCGUUCGAUACUUUUGAAUUUUUCGGCUUCUUCCUGUUUCUUUUCAUAGUCUUCGCUUUUGUCAGCUUUCCUCAGCUCUACACUUUCGUCUUCCUCAUCUUCGGCUUGUAUCUCUUCCUCCUCAUCUUCCACUAUAACAUCAUCAUCAUCAUCAUCAUCAUCAUCAUCAUCAUCAUCAUUGUCAUCAACAUCAUUGUCAUUAUUAUUAAUAUCUUCAACGUUCUUUCCUUCCUCGCUUUGGUUUUCACCAUUAUCAUCAUAAUCAUCUUUAUCAUUAAUAAUACUCUCUUUCUUCCUAAGCGAAAAUCCAGCUGAUGAUUUAUCGGCAAACUGAUUACCCAACAACCUUGAUCCAAUUUUCUGAGUAUUCGCGUCCUCCUCGAUGGUAGACGAGACCGUUUCGACAGGUGGUUUUCGACCAAUCGGAGGAACCUGCGAAGACAUGGCCCCGUGCCAUCUUCGUGGCGAAGGCGUCACUGCGUUGCUCGUCGUCAUCGUUCUCUCUGGGCACUUACCGAACUUGGAACCAACACAGGUGGCACGUUGUGAGUGCUCAACGAUCGACGAAGAAAAUGGAUGAACGACACUUCCAUCACGUAUCCUGAAGGCGUAGGAACAGUUAUAAAGAAGUAGUAUAAUCGCCCAACGAAUAAUGCCCAGAAGGGCGAGAGCCAUGAUAUGGCUGGGUUCACAUGUGAAAAGAAAAUUAAUAAGCGAGCACUAAAUCGGUGAUGUUCGAACAGAUUUACUUCUUCCUCUCCUCCCUUCUUUUUCUUCCUCUUCCUCCCUCUUUCUCUCUCUCUCUCUCUCUCUCUCUCUCUCUCUCUCUCUCUCUUUCUCUCUGUCUAUGUCUCUGUUUCUGUCUAUCUCCCUCUCUCUUUCUCUCUCUCCGAAAACUCGUGAUCAAAAGAACACGAGUGAUCUUGAGAAUCUUGAAGAACUAUCGAGUACGCCGUCUCGGACGUGGCAGAUCCCGGGCUACCACGUCCACAGUCGGCCGUGCCUUUGCGGAAAUUAGAGCGCAUGGCAGCGUCCCAAGCAGCUAGGAGUUUUAUUUAGCAUCAACAUUUCCGACCGCCGAUCGCCGCGGCCUCAGCAGUGCGUUCGAGAGACAGCCAUGCCUCUCUCUUUGUCGUCAUCAUUCACUGCCGAUAUUCUUCUCUUCGGAAGUUACGCAACUUUAGAGGGAGAGAGAGAGAGAGAGAGAGAGAGAGAGAGAGAGAGAGAGAGAGAGAGAGAGAGAGAGACAGGGAGAGAAGUCUAGGCAAGCAAACUGUUCUUAUAGACACGGAGGCGCUUCGAAUCAGGAGUGUAUAAGACGGAUUAAAGAAGAUAAUGAAACGUUUUCAAGGUUAUCACGUGUCAAAUAUAUUUGUAUUAUAUAAAUAAAAAUUUUGUUAUUAUAGAAAAGAAUUGUUCUUUUUUUCUUUUUAUUACUUUUAUUUUGCAAAAUUUCUGAUUGAAUUUCGAAUAUUUCUUUGAUUGUUAAUCAAACAUAAUUUAAGAAUAGAGGAUAUUUUUUACAAGUAAGAUGUUCCCUAUGAAGAUGAAAUAGUUUAGCGAUGAUAUAGCGUAAGAUACAAACUCGGAACAGCAGAGAUUGAUGGCACACGAAUUGUACGUACACUUGUGGUAUGAAGUCCGGCGGUUCAGCUGUAAUAUUCUGGCGAUCAGUUUUACCGCAACAAAAGGAUUAAAGUGGAUAGGAAAUAAAAGGAAAUAUUUAUGCGUUCAAGGGUCAGCCUACAACGUGAUAUGUACCGAACAAUAUUCAACUAUAACUACUAAUAUCAUUCAAGUAUUUGUUCAACAAUCUUAUGUAAUAGGAUCUACAUGAAAAGAGAGAAUAAAUGGCAAAUAAUAAAAGGUGUAUGAAGAUAUUGUAUGUUUUUAAUAAAAUGGAAAUAAAUGAAUGAUGAAACGAA